rnacentral:lncRNA from 1 species
CUCCUCCUCUUCCUAAUUCUCCUCCUCUGCCUCCUCCUUGUCCUCUCCCUCCCCCUUGUCCUCCUCGUCUUCCUUUUCUUCCUCCUCUUCUGUCCCAGGGCUUUCAAACUCUGGCUCUCCAACGACAUGGAAGAGUUAAAAGGAGGAACGCUGGCUCAGCCAAGCCCCGGAGACUCCUACUUGAUAUGGGCAGUUUAAAGCCACUUUCCCUUUAAAUUUUUCUGUGACAACUCUUUUCAUGGAGAAUGGAAAGACUCUCGUUAAGUGUUGCCGUUCAGAAGUGUUGGCGGUCGUUGCUAACAUGAGAUCCAACAAGAAAUGGUGAAAAUGCACAAUGCCUCAGGACGCCUUGAGGAAGGAGCAGCAUGUUGCUGCCGAGGGUGAACACACGUGGUCUCUGCGGAGAGGCGACAGAUCUCCCUGGGCGUCAGUCAUCCUGGGACUGGGUGUCGUGGAAGAAGGUGACACCAGGCAGAAACCAAGAGCAGGGGAGCUGCAGGCCGGCAUAAGAGCCCGUAUCAGAGCAGAGUGGCCCCUGAGCGGGGAGGGAGCCGGAGAUCACUGUUGGAGGAGGGCCCGGCACCUGCACCUGAGGACAUGAGUCUAAUAAAAGAGUAUAAAUAAUAUAAUAAAAGAGAGUAUAAUAAAAAAAUAAUUUAAAGAAAAAAAAAAAAAAAAAA